UUUUCAAUUCGACUUCUUGGAAUCUCAAGUUGAAGAGCUGGGCGAAACUCAACUCAAUUCGAAGAGGAUUACGAAAAUGUCAGCGGGGAAUGGUAAGCGUAAACGUACAAUGGUGAGGGUUUUUGGGUUAUAUAUAUAUUCUUCAGGCUGGGGAUGUGAUUAUGUUUUGAAUUAUGGUUUUAUGUCUUGUGUACCAAAGGUUGGGGCUGAAGAUGAAGAGGGGUAUGGGCUCAGUAAGAAGAGUAAGGUAUGUGGGCAGAAGACCAUGCAUUUGUAUCCAGAAUUGUUUAAGGUACUACAAUAUGGCAUUUUGUGCGUGUGAAAUUGGUGUUUUUGCAUGAUUAAGGUUUAUGCAUGAAUUAAGUUACUGGUGUGCUUAGGAUGACAGAUUAAGUUAUGGAGGGGCUGUCAAAGGUAGAGCGGAGGUGAUGGCUGAACAUUCAAAGGCCAGAAGUCGGCCUCCUAACAUGAGUUGCCGCAUUGAGUCAUUUGGGCGCAUAUGUCAGAAAUUUGAUGACAGGAGAAGACGUUGGG